rnacentral:lncRNA from 1 species
AUGAAAUCACUGAAACUGUUUGUUUAUUUCUGUGAUAUCUGGUCAGAAAGAAACAAUUUGGGGCAGGGCAGAUAGUACUUGUGUAAUAUUUUGAAUCAUAAACUCUGCAAACACACACAACAAUAACUAGUCCUCUACUGUAUAGUAUACACUCUCUACUCACUAGUGGCUCUCAACUCUAUUGAGCCGAAGUUCACAGACCAGUCAUUUCCCUGGUCAGUUAGCAGUAUGGGACUGAAAAUUUCCAGUGCAGUUCAUCUCAUCCGAGUCGCCGGGCGCCUCCUCCUGCUCCGCCGCUCGUCGCCGGCACUGUAGGAAUGGCCAGUGGCGUUGUCAGGAUUGAAGCAAACCCCGGGCCAAAUUUAUUUUCUGUCAACAUUGAAAAACUUUGGCACUUAUGACACCCCAGAAAUGCCCCAUGGGAAAUAAAGCCCAGUUGCUCAAUAAAUCUAGAAUUUAAUCUCAAUGCUUAACAAUCUAACAAAAGAGAUAAAACAUGACAAAGCUACAAAUCAUCUAUGGUGACAAUCAGACAAUGCAUACACCAAUUUCUAUUUCUGCAAAAUGAAUCAAUUCGAGUUCCAGUCCAACAUUUAAAUCAUCUAUUCACUGUGACAAUCAGAGAAUUCAUACACCAAUUCAACAAGACCAAAUUACCAGCGAGACUAAGGGCGCGGCGGCGGCAGUAGCCAGCGGCAGGUCACACAGAGCCGGCGGCGGCAGAAUCACGGGC